AGUGAACGCUGGCGGUAGGCCUAACACAUGCAAGUCGAACGGCAGCACAGUAAGAGCUUGCUCUUACGGGUGGCGAGUGGCGGACGGGUGAGGAAUAUAUCGGAAUCUACUUUUUCGUGGGGGAUAACGUAGGGAAACUUACGCUAAUACCGCAUACGACCUUCGGGUGAAAGCAGGGGAUCUUCGGACCUUGCGCGAUUGAAUGAGCCGAUGUCGGAUUAGCUAGUUGGCGGGGUAAAGGCCCACCAAGGCGACGAUCCGUAGCUGGUCUGAGAGGAUGAUCAGCCACACUGGAACUUAGACACGGUCCAGACUCCUGCGGGAGGCAGCAGUGGGGAAUAUUGGACAAUGGGCGCAAGCCUUAUCCAGCCAUACCGCGUGGGUGAAGAAGGCCUUCGGGUUGUAAAGCCCUUUUGUUGGGAAAGAAAAGCAGCAGGUUAAUACCCCGCUGUUCUGACGGUACCCAAAGAAUAAGCACCGGCUAACUUCGUG
rnacentral:rRNA from 1 species